rnacentral:rRNA from 1 species
GAUGAACGCUGGCGGCGUGCCUAAUACAUGCAAGUCGAGCGAACGGACGAGAAGCUUGCUUCUCUGAUGUUAGCGGCGGACGGGUGAGUAACACGUGGAUAACCUACCUAUAAGACUGGGAUAACUUCGGGAAACCGGAGCUAAUACCGGAUAAUAUUUUGAACCGCAUGGUUCAAAAGUGAAAGACGGUCUUGCUGUCGCUUAUAGAUGGAUCCGCGCUGCAUUAGCUAGUUGGUAAGGUAACGGCUUACCAAGGCAACGAUGCAUAGCCGACCUGAGAGGGUGAUCGGCCACACUGGAACUGAGACACGGUCCAGACUCCUACGGGAGGCAGCAGUAGGGAAUCUUCCGCAAUGGGCGAAAGCCUGACGGAGCAACGCCGCGUGAGUGAUGAAGGUCUUCGGAUCGUAAAACUCUGUUAUUAGGGAAGAACAUAUGUGUAAGUAACUGUGCACAUCUUGACGGUACCUAAUCAGAAAGCCACGGCUAACUACGUGCCAGCAGCCGCGGUAAUACGUAGGUGGCAAGCGUUAUCCGGAAUUAUUGGGCGUAAAGCGCGCGUAGGCGGUUUUUUAAGUCUGAUGUGAAAGCCCACGGCUCAACCGUGGAGGGUCAUUGGAAACUGGAAAACUUGAGUGCAGAAGAGGAAAGUGGAACUCCAUGUGUAGCGGUGAAAUGCGCAGAGAUAUGGAGGAACACCAGUGGCGAAGGCGACUUUCUGGUCUGUAACUGACGCUGAUGUGCGAAAGCGUGGGGAUCAAACAGGAUUAGAUACCCUGGUAGUCCACGCCGUAAACGAUGAGUGCUAAGUGUUAGGGGGUUUCCGCCCCUUAGUGCUGCAGCUAACGCAUUAAGCACUCCGCCUGGGGAGUACGACCGCAAGGUUGAAACUCAAAGGAAUUGACGGGGACCCGCACAAGCGGUGGAGCAUGUGGUUUAAUUCGAAGCAACGCGAAGAACCUUACCAAAUCUUGACAUCCUUUGACAACUCUAGAAAUAGAGCCUUCCCCUUCGGGGGACAAAGUGACAGGUGGUGCAUGGUUGUCGUCAGCUCGUGUCGUGAGAUGUUGGGUUAAGUCCCGCAACGAGCGCAACCCUUAAGCUUAGUUGCCAUCAUUGAGUUGGGCACUCUAAGUUGACUGCCGGUGACAAACCGGAGGAAGGUGGGGAUGACGUCAAAUCAUCAUGCCCCUUAUGAUUUGGGCUACACACGUGCUACAAUGGACAAUACAAAGGGCAGCGAAACCGCGAGGUCAAGCAAAUCCCAUAAAGUUGUUCUCAGUUCGGAUUGUAGUCUGCAACUCGACUACAUGAAGCUGGAAUCGCUAGUAAUCGUAGAUCAGCAUGCUACGGUGAAUACGUUCCCGGGUCU